AAACCGGUCCUUUUCAGGACCAUCGAAAAAUUCCAAGAAGUUUCAA
rfam:Aedes albopictus isolate Foshan contig108666, whole genome shotgun sequence.